rnacentral:lncRNA from 1 species
GCAAGUGGAGAUGAAUUGUUCAAUCCCUGGGUUCAUCAGAGGCAAACAUACUCACAAAUGUCUUUUGUUUUGUUUUGCUUUGUUUCUCUUUGUGUGUGUGGUCCUAGUGCUUGCCCAGAGAUUGACAGUGGGUAUCUUUCCUGAGCAAUCUACACUUUCUUUACUGUGUCCUGUUCUCUGUCUGAACACAGAUCCAGCAGCUCUGCCCCCAGGGAUCACCUGUCUCUGCUUCCAGAAUGCAGGGAUGACAAGAGGACCACGGCAGGCACCUGGUUUCCAUGUGGAUGCUGGAUCAAAACUGGGGUUCAGCAUUUGAUAAGACAGUGACUCCAUGCUGUAUAUGUUACUCAUACCAGAUCUGAUGCUGUGGCUGUGGGUCCCCUUGGAAAGGGGAAUGAUCAAGUGGCAACACUGCCGUGUCCCAGCUAAUUUCUUAGGAGAAUUACAUACAGACAUGAAGGAACUUGCUUCCGUUGAUUACUUGCUGCUGAAACAUCAUAUGGGCUAUGAACAGUGUGCUGAGUUGGGAGGCCAGCCUGACCCAGGAUAGAAGCUCAGAAGGAAACUGAGCAAUGAAGGACAGAUGGGUGGCUCCAGAAUUUGAUCCACACUAUGGCCUUGUAAGACCCCCAGAAAGCUCAGGCCUCCAGGAUCUCAGCCCAGGACCUCGGUCAUCCCAAUCACCAGGUGGAUUCAAAAGCUUGAUGCAAAUUGCAUGAGGUUUUAUUGUUGUUUAAUGAGCUAACCCCAUGUUAGCUCGGGUCUUUCAUCCACCCACCAUGGCGGAUGGCUAGAAAAGACAGCUCAAAGCAUCUGCAUAGAGAUUUUAUAGGGCAGCAUAAGGGGAGUGUCUAGGGAUACGCACAGGCUCAGGAUUGGUGUGGCUCCAGGCUUGGAGGGCUUGCCCUGUGUUGAUUGGUCAACUGGUUGUUAUGGCCCAUAGGUCCUCCUAGGGUGGUUGCUAUGCUCUGCAUGUCAUUGCUGUGCACUUGUUUGUAAAGCACACCCAGAGCCGUAAUGCAUAGCGCCACCAGCUAACUUCUAAUUGGUUCCUUGCCACGAGGCAGGCAUUUAACCUCUUAGUGACUAAGGCAAGGUCAGACAAGCAUGUGUUCGGCUGUUAUGGCUGCUGAAAUGGGGAGCUGGUCCCUUCAGCCUCAGGCUCAGAGCUUUCUUUUUUUUUUUUUUUCUUGGUUUCGAGACAGGGUUUCU